AUCGAGUCUUUGAACGCAAGUUGCGCCCGAAGCCAUUAGGCCGAGGGCACGCCUGCCUGGGCGUCACACGUCGUUGCCCCCCCAUAUACUCCUUCGGGAUUGCGGGGGGCGGAUGAUGGCCUCCCGUGCGCCUCGUCGCGCGGUUGGCAUAAAUGCCAAGUCCUCGGCGACGCACGCCACGACAAUCGGUGGUUGCGAAACCUCGGUUGCCCGUCGUGCGCGGUCGUCGCGCAUCGAGGGCUCGAAAAAAUUGCUCGGCUUCGGCUCGGCUUUCAACG
rnacentral:misc_RNA from 1 species